rnacentral:rRNA from 1 species
GAUGAACGCUAGCGGGAGGCUUAACACAUGCAAGUCGAGGGGCAGCACGGGAUAGCAAUAUUCUGGUGGCGAGUGGCGAACGGGUGAGUAAUACAUCGGAACGUGCCCAAUCGUGGGGGAUAACGUAGCGAAAGUUACGCUAAUACCGCAUACGAUCUAAGGAUGAAAGCGGGGGAUCGCAAGACCUCGCGCGUUUGGAGCGGCCGAUGGCAGAUUAGGUAGUUGGUGGGGUAAAGGCUUACCAAGCCCGCGAUCUGUAGCUGGUCUGAGAGGAUGAUCAGCCACACUGGGACUGAGACACGGUCCGGACUCCUACGGGAGGCAGCAGUGGGGAAUAUUGCGCAAUGGGCGAAAGCCUGACGCAGCCAUACCGCGUGUGUGAAGAAGGCCUUCGGGUUGUAAAGCACUUUCAGUGGGAGGAAAGCUGGUGGCUAAGUAUCCAUCGGCCGUGACGCUACCCACACGAAGAAGCACCGGCUAAUUCCGUGUCC